UACGAAGGGAGCGAGCGUUGUUCGGAAUCACUGGGCAUAAAGAGCAUGUAGGCGGACAAAGUAGUUGAGAGUGAAAGCCCUGAGCUCAACUCAGGAAUGUCUCUCAAAACCAUUUGUCUUGAGUACGGGAGGGGUAACUGGAAUUCCUGGUGGAGCGGUGAAAUGCGUAGAGAUCAGGAGGAACGCCGGAGGCGAAAGCGAGUUACUGGACCGUCACUGACGCUGAGAUGCGAAAGCUAGGGGAGCAAACAGG
rnacentral:rRNA from 1 species